AGCUAGUUGAAGAGAACAAUGACUCAGUGUUCCAGUGUGACUGAGGGACAGUGCGCUGAAGCUUUACUCUCUCUACUCGAGUUGUAUAGAGAGCGCGUGCUUUGAAGUACAGCUGGCUGCAAUACUCAGCCAAUCUGAGCGCGCGACGAGCCGCGUCCGACCAAUGAGCGACGCGACCAUGACAGAAAUACUAAAGCUGCACGUCAAUCAAUGACUGGGGUACUGAUCCCACUGUCAAGCAAUAAGCCAUCGUCUAUUUUUCAUCGUUUUUUAUAUAUAUAUGGCCAUCAAGGCGCAGAAUCCGCACAGACUAUAGCGCUCAGCUCAUAUUGGUAUUUAAUGGGCAUCCUCCGAGGAGCCAGUCACUGAAACGCAGUCUUGGAUGAAGAGGACAGAGGGGCACCACUGAUCCCACAACAGGACGUAAUGUGCAGGAGGAAGACGCGGCCGCUGCUGUCCCCACUGGAGCAGAGAGGACACCGUAGCAGAGAUGAACGUGCAGAAGUUCGGACCUGCCGACCGGGUCACGGCACCACCAGAGAGAGCGUGGAGGAGCUCGGGAAGCUGGCAGCAGACGUGAGAAGCGAGGAGCAGCCAUCCCUGAGGUGUGUCUAUACGAGAAGCAUCCAGGUGAGUCGUAUUCUUCUCUACCUGCUCCUGCUGUUCUGAGCCGCAGGCACCUGGCCAGAUAUCAGCGGCCUGCACCCCGGGCAAGCCACCGUCCCACACCACGGAGAACUUCAAUUACAGCGGGAUUCUCGGAGCAGAGAGCGAAGGGGGUCGCAUUGAUUGAGGAGGGCAACAAUUGAUUUUGUCCAUUACGUGGUGAGAAUGUUUCCAUCCUGCGCAGAUCAGGCUGCCCUCCUCCUGUGGGUGGAGAUAAGAGGCCGCUGCAUUGUGGCUGCCUAAUCUGUGUGACGGCGCUUGUCUGUGCUGAAAUUGAUGUGGCUUUUCAUGCGUCCGCGUGUGGGUCUGUGUGGUGGGGGUCUGUUCCUCCACACCCCCGUCUCAGAUCCACUCAGAGCGCUGAGUGCCGCUUACAUCAGCAAACAUGAGGGGGAUUUGCAUCGAUACAGAUAUUUGCCUUGUAUUUGUUCCACAGGAUGUUUGUAAAGAGAAUAAAGCCGUUUGUAAUGACUUGUUGAAUUCUUGA
ensembl:lncRNA